GGUACAGAGUCAAUGUGGAGGCUAUAUACAGGGGGUACCGGUACAGAGUCAAUGUGGAGGCUAUAUACAGGGGGUAUCGGUACAGACUCAAUGUGGAGGCUAUAUACAGGGGGUACCGGUACAGAGUCAAUGUGGAGGCUAUAUACAGUGGGUACCGGUACAGAGUCAAUGUGGAGGCUAUAUACAGUGGGUACCGGUACAGAGUCAAUGUGGAGGCUAUAUACAGGGGGUACCGGUACAGAGUCAAUGUGGAGGCUAUAUACAGGGGGUACCGGUACAGAGUCAAUGUGGAGGCUAUAUACAGGGGGUACCGGUACAGAGUCAAUGCGGAGGCUAUAUACAGGGAGUAGUUGUACAGAGUCAAUGUGGAGGCUAUAUACAGGGGUUACCGGUACAGAGUCAAUGUGGAGGCUAUAUACAGGGUAUUACGGUACAGAGUCAAUGUGGAGGCUAUAUACAGGGGGUACCGGUACAGAGUCAAUGUGGAGGCUAUAUACAGGGGGUACCGGUACAGAGUCAAUGUGGAGGAUAUAUACAGGGUAUUACGGUACAGAGUCAAUGUGGAGGCUAUAUACAGGGGGUACCGGUACAGAGUCAAUGUGGAGGCUAUAUACAGGGGGUACCGGUACAGAGUCAAUGUGGAGGCUAUAUACAGGGGGGUACCGGGACAGAGUCAAUGUGGAGGCUAUAUACAGGGGGGUACCGGUACAGAGUCAAUGUGGAGGCUAUAUACAGGGGGGUACCGGUACAGAGUCAAUGUGGAGGCUAUAUACAGGGGGUACCGGUACAGAGUCAAUGUGGAGGCUAUAUACAGGGGGUACCGGUACAGAGUCAAUGUGGAGGCUAUAUACAGGGGGUACCGGUACAGAGUCAAUGUGGAGGCUAUAUACAGGGGGUACCGGUACAGAGUCAAUGUGGAGGCUAUAUACAGGGGGGUACCGGUAC
rnacentral:lncRNA from 1 species